AACGAACGCUGGCGGCAGGCUUAACACAUGCAAGUCGAGCGCCCCGCAAGGGGAGCGGCAGACGGGUGAGUAACGCGUGGGAAUCUACCCAGCUCUACGGAAUAACGCAUGGAAACGUGUGCUAAUACCGUAUACGUCCUUCGGGAGAAAGAUUUAUCGGAGCUGGAUGCGCCCGCGUUGGAUUAGCUAGUUGGUGAGGUAAAGGCCUACCAAGGCGAAGAUCCAUAGCUGGUCUGAGAGGAUGAUCAGCCACACUGGGACUGAGACACGGCCCAGACUCCUACGGGAGGCAGCAGUGGGGAAUAUUGGACAAUGGGCGCAAGCCUGAUCCAGCCAUGCCGCGUGAGUGAUGAAGGCCCUAGGGUUGUAAAGCUCUUUCACCGGUGAAGAUAAUGACGGUAACCGGAGAAGAAGCCCCGGCUAACUUCGUGCCAGCCGCCGCCGUAAAAC
rnacentral:rRNA from 1 species